rnacentral:lncRNA from 10 species
GCACACGUUGUGAAUGUAUUUAAUGAAUGGUACACCUUAAAAAGGUUAAGAUGGUAAAUUUUACAUUCUGUUAUUUUACCCCAGUAAAAUUUUUUACAAAAGAAAAUCACCUAUCUUGAUUAAGCCACUAUUAGUUAAGGCAUUUGCUAGAGCUGUUGAACUGUCUACAUCCUCCUGACACAUAUAAAAUAGCCCAGGACUGUGUUUCCUCAGGAAGCCCUUCUUCCAGUUGGCUAGGACCCCUGGGGCUGCCUAAUCACCAGACACUCCUUUGUCCCAGGACAACAAAGCUGUGACCUGCAGCCACCCCAGGGGCAGGUUUUCUUGGAAUAAGAGCUGGGGAAGCUGCCUGGAGCAACCUGCUAGAUUGCCACGAAGGGAAGGGGAGGAAGCACAGCAGAUUCUCUGCCAGUGUAGACACCAGUAAACCUGUACCAGUUAUUCAAAUAGUCAAAUACUUCCAGGUCUGUGGGUCAGCAGCCACUGCCCUGAGGCACCCCACCCCUUGAAGUUUCCCCCUCCCUGGCUAUCCUAGACCCAGACCCACCAACUAAAUGGGUAACAUUUAGCACAAGAAGGGAUUCCAGGAUGUCAUUCUUACCUCCAGCUACUCUGAUUCAGCAAGCCAUACCACUUGUUAAAGACUUUGAACAUUAUCCCUGGCUAUAAGUUACCCGGUCUCAACUGACUGAAGGAAAAAAAAAACGGCUGGGUGAGGUGGCUCAAGUCUGCAAUCCCAGCACUUUGGGAGGCUGAGGCAGGAGGAAUGCCCAGAGCUCAGGAGUUCGCGACCAGCCUGGACAACACGGUGAAACCCCGUCUCUACUAAAAUCCAAAAAAAAAAAAAAAUAGCCAGGUGUGGCAGUGUGCACCUGUAGUCCCAGUCACUCGGGAGGCUGAGGCGGGAG